GAUUAAGUUAUUAAGGGCGCACGGUGGAUGCCUUGGCACUAGAAGCCGAUGAAGGACGUUACUAACGACGAUAUGCUUUGGGGAGCUGUAAGUAAGCUUUGAUCCAGAGAUUUCCGAAUGGGGAAACCCAGCAUGAGUUAUGUCAUGUUAUCGAUAUGUGAAUACAUAGCAUAUCAGAAGGCACACCCGGAGAACUGAAACAUCUUAGUACCCGGAGGAAGAGAAAGAAAAUUCGAUUCCCUUAGUAGCGGCGAGCGAAACGGGAAGAGCCCAAACCAACAAGCUUGCUUGUUGGGGUUGUAGGACACUCUAUACGGAGUUACAAAGGACGACAUUAGACGAAUCAUCUGGAAAGAUGAAUCAAAGAAGGUAAUAAUCCUGUAGUCGAAAAUGUUGUCUCUCUUGAGUGGAUCCUGAGUACGACGGAGCACGUGAAAUUCCGUCGGAAUCUGGGAGGACCAUCUCCUAAGGCUAAAUACUCUCUAGUGACCGAUAGUGAACCAGUACCGUGAGGGAAAGGUGAAAAGCACCCCGGAAGGGGAGUGAAAUAGAACCUGAAACCGUGUGCUUACAAGUAGUCAGAGCCCGUUAAUGGGUGAUGGCGUGCCUUUGUAGAAUGAACCGGCGAGUUACGAUUUGAUGCAAGGUUAAGCAGUAAAUGUGGAGCCGUAGCGAAAGCGAGUCUGAAUAGGGCGUUUAGUAUUUGGUCGUAGACCCGAAACCAGGUGAUCUACCCUUGGUCAGGUUGAAGUUCAGGUAACACUGAAUGGAGGACCGAACCGACUUACGUUGAAAAGUGAGCGGAUGAACUGAGGGUAGCGGAGAAAUUCCAAUCGAACCUGGAGAUAGCUGGUUCUCUCCGAAAUAGCUUUAGGGCUAGCCUCAAGUGAUGAUUAUUGGAGGUAGAGCACUGUUUGGACGAGGGGCCCCUCUCGGGUUACCGAAUUCAGACAAACUCCGAAUGCCAAUUAAUUUAACUUGGGAGUCAGAACAUGGGUGAUAAGGUCCGUGUUCGAAAGGGAAACAGCCCAGACCACCAGCUAAGGUCCCAAAAUAUAUGUUAAGUGGAAAAGGAUGUGGCGUUGCCCAGACAACUAGGAUGUUGGCUUAGAAGCAGCCAUCAUUUAAAGAGUGCGUAAUAGCUCACUAGUCGAGUGACACUGCGCCGAAAAUGUACCGGGGCUAAACAUAUUACCGAAGCUGUGGAUUGUCCUUUGGACAAUGGUAGGAGAGCGUUCUAAGGGCGUUGAAGCAUGAUCGUAAGGACAUGUGGAGCGCUUAGAAGUGAGAAUGCCGGUGUGAGUAGCGAAAGACGGGUGAGAAUCCCGUCCACCGAUUGACUAAGGUUUCCAGAGGAAGGCUCGUCCGCUCUGGGUUAGUCGGGUCCUAAGCUGAGGCCGACAGGCGUAGGCGAUGGAUAACAGGUUGAUAUUCCUGUACCACCUAUAAUCGUUUUAAUCGAUGGGGGACGCAGUAGGAUAGGCGAAGCGUGCGAUUGGAUUGCACGUCUAAGCAGUAAGGCUGAGUAUUAGGCAAAUCCGGUACUCGUUAAGGCUGAGCUGUGAUGGGGAGAAGACAUUGUGUCUUCGAGUCGUUGAUUUCACACUGCCGAGAAAAGCCUCUAGAUAGAAAAUAGGUGCCCGUACCGCAAACCGACACAGGUAGUCAAGAUGAGAAUUCUAAGGUGAGCGAGCGAACUCUCGUUAAGGAACUCGGCAAAAUGACCCCGUAACUUCGGGAGAAGGGGUGCUCUUUAGGGUUAACGCCCAGAAGAGCCGCAGUGAAUAGGCCCAAGCGACUGUUUAUCAAAAACACAGGUCUCUGCUAAACCGUAAGGUGAUGUAUAGGGGCUGACGCCUGCCCGGUGCUGGAAGGUUAAGAGGAGUGGUUAGCUUCUGCGAAGCUACGAAUCGAAGCCCCAGUAAACGGCGGCCGUAACUAUAACGGUCCUAAGGUAGCGAAAUUCCUUGUCGGGUAAGUUCCGACCCGCACGAAAGGCGUAACGAUUUGGGCACUGUCUCAACGAGAGACUCGGUGAAAUCAUAGUACCUGUGAAGAUGCAGGUUACCCGCGACAGGACGGAAAGACCCCGUGGAGCUUUACUGUAGCCUGAUAUUGAAAUUCGGCACAGCUUGUACAGGAUAGGUAGGAGCCUUUGAAACGUGAGCGCUAGCUUACGUGGAGGCGCUGGUGGGAUACUACCCUAGCUGUGUUGGCUUUCUAACCCGCACCACUUAUCGUGGUGGGAGACAGUGUCAGGCGGGCAGUUUGACUGGGGCGGUCGCCUCCUAAAAGGUAACGGAGGCGCUCAAAGGUUCCCUCAGAAUGGUUGGAAAUCAUUCAUAGAGUGUAAAGGCAUAAGGGAGCUUGACUGCGAGACCUACAAGUCGAGCAGGGUCGAAAGACGGACUUAGUGAUCCGGUGGUUCCGCAUGGAAGGGCCAUCGCUCAACGGAUAAAAGCUACCCCGGGGAUAACAGGCUUAUCUCCCCCAAGAGUUCACAUCGACGGGGAGGUUUGGCACCUCGAUGUCGGCUCAUCGCAUCCUGGGGCUGUAGUCGGUCCCAAGGGUUGGGCUGUUCGCCCAUUAAAGCGGUACGCGAGCUGGGUUCAGAACGUCGUGAGACAGUUCGGUCCCUAUCCGUCGUGGGCGUAGGAAAUUUGAGAGGAGCUGUCCUUAGUACGAGAGGACCGGGAUGGACAUACCUCUGGUGUACCAGUUGUCGUGCCAACGGCAUAGCUGGGUAGCUAUGUGUGGACGGGAUAAGUGCUGAAAGCAUCUAAGCAUGAAGCCCCCCUCAAGAUGAGAUUUCCCAACUUCGGUUAUAAGAUCCCUCAAAGAUGAUGAGGUUAAUAGGUUCGAGGUGGAAGCAUGGUGACAUGUGGAGCUGACGAAUACUAAUCGAUCGAAGACUUAAUCAA
rnacentral:rRNA from 1 species